rnacentral:rRNA from 1 species
AUUGAACGCUGGCGGCAUGCCUUACACAUGCAAGUCGAACGGCAGCACGGGUGCUUGCACCUGGUGGCGAGUGGCGAACGGGUGAGUAAUACAUCGGAACGUACCUUAUCGUGGGGGAUAACGCAGCGAAAGCUGUGCUAAUACCGCAUACGCCCUGAGGGGAAAGCGGGGGAUCGCAAGACCUCGCGCGAUUAGAGCGGCCGAUGCCGGAUUAGCUUGUUGGUGGGGUAAAAGCCCACCAAGGCGACGAUCAGUAGCUGGUCUGAGAGGACGAUCAGCCACACUGGGACUGAGACACGGCCCAGACUCCUACGGGAGGCAGCAGUGGGGAAUUUUGGACAAUGGGGGCAACCCUGAUCCAGCAAUGCCGCGUGAGUGAAGAAGGCCUUCGGGUUGUAAAGCUCUUUUGUCAGGGAAGAAACACCGGCUCUAACACAGUCCGGGAAUGACGGUACCUGAAGAAUAAGCACCGGCUAACUACGUGCCAGCAGCCGCCGUAA